CCCUUAGAUGUUCUGGGCCGCACGCGCGCUACACUGAUGCAUUCAACGAGUUUCUUCCUGGUCCGAGAGGAAUGGGUAACCUUUUGAAAGUGCAUCGUGAUAGGGAUAGACUAUUGCAAUUAUUGGUCUUCAACGAGGAAUUCCUAGUAGACGUAGUUCAUCAGACUGCAUCGAUUACGUCCCUGCCCUUUGUACACACCGCCCGUCGCUCCUACCGAGUGAAUGCUCAGGUGAGCCAUUCGGACUUUCAUCAUGCUGGUUUCCAGUUUUGAUGAAGGAAAGUCUUGCGAACCUUAUCAUUUAGAGGAAGGAGAAGUCGUAACA
rnacentral:rRNA from 1 species